UUGUCGCGAGGUGAGAACGGCCUUCUCACGCCCCUUUGGUCAGAGAGAGGGAAAGUAGCUGGUUGCGGGUUUCCGUCUCCUUCCCCGCACUCCAGUGAAGAGGUCCGGGAGUGGCGACCCGGCGCGACAG
rnacentral:ncRNA from 1 species